rnacentral:snRNA from 1 species
GUGCUUGCUUUGGCAGCACAUACACUAAAUUGGAAGGAUACAGAGAUUAGCAUGGCCCCUGCACAAGGAUGACACACAAAUUUAUGAAGUGUUCCAUAUUUUA